GGCUUAGAGUUUGAUCAUGGCUCAGGAUGAACGCUGGCGGCAUGCCUAAGACAUGCAAGUCGAACGAAGUGGCCCAUUGAAGAUUGCGUGCUUGCACAAGAUUGGAUUUGGAUUCCCACUUAGUGGCAGACGGGUGAGUAACACGUGGGUAACCUACCCCUUAGUCUGGGACAACUAUUGGAAACGAUAGCUAAUACCGGAUGAUUCAUUGGAGGAUAACCUCCGAUGCUAAAAGGAGCUUCGGCUUCGCUUUGGGAUGGGCUUGCGGUGUAUUAGCUUGUUGGUGAGGUAAUGGCUCACCAAGGCUACGAUGCAUAUCCGGGCUGAGAGGCUGAUCGGACACAUUGGAACUGAGAUACGGUCCAAACUCCUACGGGAGGCAGCAGUUAGGAAUAUUCGUCAAUGGGGGAAACCCUGAACGAGCAAUGCCGCGUGAGUGAUGAAGGUCUAUUAGAUUGUAAAGCUCUGUUGCGAGGGAAGAAUAGCUUUCAUAGGUAAUGAUGAAAGUGUGACGGUACCUCGUCAGAAAGCCCCGGCUAACUACGUGCCAGCAGCCGCGGUAAUACGUAGGGGGCGAGCGUUAUCCGGAUUUAUUGGGCGUAAAGCGUUCGUAGGCGGUUUGUUAAGUCUAAAAUCAAAUCUUGGGGCUUAACUCCAUUCAGUUUUAGAAACUGGCAGACUUGAGUGUGGUAGAGGCAAGUGGAAUUUCUAGUGUAGCGGUUAAAUGCGUAGAUAUUAGAAGGAACACCAGUGGCGAAAGCGGCUUGCUGGGGCCAUUACUGACGCUGAGGAACGAGAGCGUGGGGAGCAAAUAGGAUUAGAUACCCUAGUAGUCCACGCCGUAAACGAUGAGUACUAAGUGUCGGGU
rnacentral:rRNA from 1 species